rnacentral:pre_miRNA from 1 species
GCGGAUAUAGUAUAUCGUGUUAUAGACACAAGAGAAACAACUGGCACACCUAUUAUAGUUAAAAUAUAACUUUUUUUUUUUAUAACAUAAAAUAUAACUUACUUAAGUUAUAUUUUAACUAUAAUAGGUGUGCCAGUUGUUUCUCUUGUGUCUAUAACACGAUAUACUAUAUUUUC